GCAUGGUGGGGGGUACAGUCGCGCGUUAACCACCAGCGGAGCAACGUAGGAAGAGUACCCGCAAAGAAAGAGAAAAACUUUGUCAGAAUGAUUCAACCAGAAUAUUGAAUUUAACUACAUAGUUCUACGUUUCAUUUAGCUGCUUAUUUGCAUUGUCUGACGGUACAGAGCACAUGACAUGCAAAAAUAUGCAACGUGUGCAAAAAACGCCGAAUAAAUUCAUGCCCGUUCUAAAAAUAGGCAGAACAGUGAUAUAGUAUCUUAUUUGAAUGAUCGUUUCAGCCCAUUACUUGUACAAAUGUUAUCCCAUUACUUGUACAAAUGACGAUAAGAUAAUCGGUGUAUUGUAAAUGUAAUACACAAUUAAUUGUUCAGGUGGCAAGAAUUAAAGACAAGAAAGAACGGACAAGAUUAAGAUAAUAAAUUUCGUAUCGUACCGAAAAGUGAAUUUUAUCAGAUGACGAUAAAGAAAGAAAUUUCCCUCAAGAUCUUCCCGAAGAUUUCUUCAAGGCUGAUGAUACGUCAACGUAUGUUUUUCGCACAAUGUAGUGUCGUGCUCGGUAUCAAGUCAAAUCCAAUCACUCGAAACGGAGGAGAGACAAAGUAAUACCGAAAUAUUAUAGUGUGAAAAAUCACAGAGAUUGCUCUUCUCUUUUUUCGAAAGUUCGACUCCUCUUCGAAAUUUUAUUUCAAAUCCAGCUGAUUCGACCAUCGACGAAAUUGUUGAAAAAAGAAGAAGGGAAGCGACGCAUUGACAAAUCAAGCGGCACGUUUCAAGCGCAUGGCGAACUGAAGGUUGCUUACAACAAAGUUUAUAAACGAACGGGUCACCUCGAUAACCCCGCGAGAAUUGCCGCCACAUUGAUUAUACGGCGUACGGUUCUCCAAGAUGUCUCUCGCAGCUAAUUGGCUUUGCACCUUUCAUCGCCACGCAAAAUAACAAAUGACGAAAAUUAUUUUUUGCACACCGUGACGACCCUAUAAACACAAACCCAAUCUGAACUCUGGGCUCCGAGUAUCUUCUUUUUAAAAUAGAAAAAUUAAAGCACAUUUCUUUUAAACGUGUGACCUGCAACUCUGCUCUAUCGUUGUUUUUCCUUUCAGCUAGAUAAAGGGAAUAAUCGAUAGAAAAAGAAGUUAUUGACACAAUUAGUCGAAACGUAUCUGGAUUAUUAGGAUUACGGGGCGAUAAACCUCAUUGUUAAGCGUUAUCGUUGCUAACAAUCAUCAAAUAACAAGCGGGAAAUUUUAUUAUUGUUCGCGAGAUACUGUGAUGUAACACAUGUUCGUUACAGCUAUUUCUAUAUCAGGGCGUGUGUGUCUUUAAAAUAGAAUUGAAUUACAAAUUGAGCGUAAUUUUUUACCUAUUGUCAGUCGUUAUAUUUAGAGUGUCUCUAUCAGUCGAAUCCUUCGAGUCGAGCAUGGGGGAUUGAUCGAUUUCAAAAAAGAAGUAAUACUAACACAAAGUAGGAAAACUUCCAUACAAAAUAAUCACGAGGCU